AACGCGAAGAACCUUACCAGCCCUUGACAUGUCCGGGACCGGUCGCAGAGAUGUGACCUUCUCUUCGGAGCUCGGAACACAGGUGCUGCAUGGCUGUCGUCAGCUCGUGUCGUGAGAUGUUGGGUUAAGUCCCGCAACGAGCGCAACCCCCGUCCUUAGUUGCUACCAUUUAGUUGAGCACUCUAAGGAGACUGCCGGUGAUAAGCCGCGAGGAAGGUGGGGAUGACGUCAAGUCCUCAUGGCCCUUACGGGCUGGGCUACACACGUGCUACAAUGGCGGUGACAGUGGGAUGCGAAGACGCAAGUCCUAGCAAAUCUCAAAAAGCCGUCUCAGUUCGGAUUGGGCUCUGCAACUCGAGCCCAUGAAGUUGGAAUCGCUAGUAAUCGUGGAUCAGCACGCCACGGUGAAUACGUUCCCGGGCCUUGUACACACCGGCUAC
rnacentral:rRNA from 1 species